UCACAGGGCGCGGGUGUCGAUGAGCAUCCACUUGCCCGGGUCGGCAAGUGCUUCGAACCCGAGCGGCCGAUAGACCGCAUGGGCGUCACGCGUGGCCAGCAAUACCCGCGGAACGCCCAUGCUCUGCACCUCGGCUACGGCGGUGGCAACCAAUCGGCGUCCGAGUCCACGACCGCGGUGCGCGGCAUCGACGAAUACAUCGCAGACCCAGGCGAAGGUCGCGUCGUCGGU
rnacentral:rRNA from 1 species